CAUGUCUUUAUGAAUAUAAUUUAAAGUCUAAUCUGCUCCAUGAUUUAAAAUUAAAUAGCUGCAGAAUUUUAACUGUACAAAGGUAGCAUAAUCAAUAGUUUUUUAAUUAAAAGCUGGAAUGAAUGAUUUGAUAAGGUAAAUAUUGUCUCAAGUUUAAUAAAAUUAGAAUUUUUUUUUUAGUUAAAAUACUAAAAAAGAUUUAAAAGACGAGAAGACCCUAUAGAUUUUUAUAUUUUAAAUUAAAUAAAUUUAAAAAUAAAAAUAAUUUUUAAUUAAAAAGUAUUUGAUUGGGGAAAUUAUUAAAUUUGUAAAAUUUUAAUUAUUUAAAAACAAGAAUUAUUGAAUUUUUGAUCUUAAUUUAUAAAUUAAAAGAAUAAAUUACCUUAGGGAUAACAGCGUAAUUUUUUUGGAGAGAUCUUAUUUAUAAAAAAGUUUGCGACCUCGAUGUUGAAUUAAGAUAAAAUUUUAAUGAAGAAAUUAAAAAUUUUUGGUCUGUUCGACCAUUAAAAUCUUACGUGA
rnacentral:rRNA from 1 species